CCCCUGGCCCCCGACAGCCCCAUGGCGUCUCCUGGGCUUCCCCCACUGUGAGUCCAGGCUCAGCUCCAGCCACUUGUCCAUCCCAUGUGGGCACAGGGGCUCCCUGGGAUUCGACCCGUCCUGCCUUAGGGGCCUCCAACUCCUGGCAAAGGGCAGUGGGCAGGAAAUGCCCAGGUUGUCACGUGCAAGCCCAGGAAGAGCCACCUCGGCAUGAAAGAAAAACAAGAAACUCAGAUCCAGAGGCUCCAACCUGCAGAGCAGCCUGGGUUCCCUCCAAACUGGGCCAGGUUGGGGGAAGCAGGCUGAGGCUGCGAGUAGCCGGGACUCCCUCCGCCAGGACGGGCUUGAGCCUGUCGCGUGCUGUGAAGUGUAUUUCUGAGCGGACGCUGGCAUUUCAGAAUCGCAACUGCUGUGUCAGUGGAAAUCUUCCUGCAGACUUUUCUUUUGAGGAGAAAUUGUUUCAAUGGGAUAAACUCCCUGGAGUGGAGUUUCUGGGCCGGAGGGAACGAGCCCAGCCGAGCUCUUGAACCUGCCCAAGCACCCGCCACCAUCACUGGCCAAGUGUGGGUGGAGCAGUCCCAUCAGAACUUGAUCCGCAGGCCUUCAGCACCAUUGAAAAUGUUUGCUCAUAGGCCGGGUGUGGUAAUCCCAGCACUUUGGGAGGCUGAGGCGGGCGGAUCACUUGACACCGGAAGUUUAAAAACCAGCCUGGCCAACAUGGUGAAACUCUGUCUCUACUAAAAAAUACAAAAAUCAGCCGGGCAUGGUGGCAGGUACCUGUAAUCCCAGCUACUCAGAAGGCUGAGACAGGAGAAUCACUUGAACUCAGG
rnacentral:lncRNA from 1 species